AUAGCUCAGCUGGGAGAGCACUUGCCUUACAAGCAAGGGGUCACAGGUUCGAGCCCUGUU
rnacentral:tRNA from 1 species